rnacentral:rRNA from 1 species
AUUGAACGCUGGCGGCAGGCCUAACACAUGCAAGUCGAGCGGCAGCGGAAAGUAGCUUGCUACUUUGCCGGCGAGCGGCGGACGGGUGAGUAAUGUCUGGGAAACUGCCUGAUGGAGGGGGAUAACUACUGGAAACGGUAGCUAAUACCGCAUAACGUCGCAAGACCAAAGAGGGGGACCUUCGGGCCUCUUGCCAUCAGAUGUGCCCAGAUGGGAUUAGCUAGUAGGUGGGGUAAUGGCUCACCUAGGCGACGAUCCCUAGCUGGUCUGAGAGGAUGACAAGCAACACUGGAACUGAGACACGGUCCAGACGCCUACGGGAGGCAGCAGUGGGGAAUAGUGCACAAUGGGCGCAAGCCUGAUGCAGCCAUGCCGCGUGUAUGAAGAAGGCCUUCGGGUUGUAAAGUACUGUCAGCGGGGAGGAAGGUGCUGAGGUUAAUAACCUCAGCAAUUGACGUUACCCGCAGAAGAAGCACCGGCUAACUCCGUGCCAGCCGCCGCAGUAA